rnacentral:rRNA from 1 species
GACGAACGCUGGCGGCGUGCUUAACACAUGCAAGUCGAACGGAAAGGCCCUGCUUUUGUGGGGUGCUCGAGUGGCGAACGGGUGAGUAACACGUGAGUACCCUGUCCUUGACUUUGGGAUAACUUCAGGAAACUGGGGCUAAUACCGGAUAGGAGCUCCUGCUGCAUGGUGGGGGUUGGAUAGUUUCGGCGGUUGGGGAUGGACUCGCGGCUUAUCAGCUUGUUGGGUGGGUAGUGGCUUACCAAGGCUUUGACGGGUAGCCGGCCUGAGAGGGUGACCGGCCACAUCGGGCCUGAAAUACGGCACAGACUCCAACGGGAGGCAGCGGUGCGGAAUAGUGCACAAUGGGCUGAAGCCUGAUGCAGCAACGCCGCGUGCGGGAUGACGGCAUUCGGGUUGUAAUCCACAUUCGCCUGUGACGGAGCGUGAGUGACGGUAAUGGGUAAAGAAGCACCGGCUAACUACGUG